UGGGGAAUAGUGUAAUGGAAGCACGACUGAUUCUGGAUCAGUUAGUCGAGGUCCGAAUCCUCAUUCCCCAG
rfam:Planctomycetes bacterium RBG_19FT_COMBO_48_8 rbg_19ft_combo_scaffold_11367, whole genome shotgun sequence.